UACGUAGGGAGCAAGCGUUGUCCGGAAUCAUUGGGCGUAAAGCGCGCGUAGGCGGCCCUGUAAGUCCGUUGUGAAAGUCAAAGGCUCAACCUUUGAAAGCCGAUGGAUACUGCAGGGCUAGAGUCCGGAAGAGGCGAGUGGAAUUCCUGGUGUAGCGGUGGAAUGCGCAGAUAUCAGGAGGAACACCGGUGGCGAAGGCGGGUCUCUGGGCCGUAACUGACGCUGAGGAGCGAAAGCAUGGGGAGCGAACAGG
rnacentral:rRNA from 1 species